UACGUAGGGUGCAAGCGUUAAUCGGAAUUACUGGGCGUAAAGCGUGCGCAGGCGGUUAUGCAAGACAGAUGUGAAAUCCCCGGGCUCAACCUGGGAACUGCAUUUGUGACUGCAUGGCUAGAGUACGGGUAGAGGGGGAUGGAAUUCCGCGUGUAGCAGUGAAAUGCGUAGAUAUGCGGAGGAACACCGAUGGCGAAGGCAAUCCCCUGGACCUGUACUGACGCUCAUGCACGAAAGCGUGGGGAGCAAACAGG
rnacentral:rRNA from 1 species